UACAGAGGGUGCGAGCGUUGUCCGGAAUCACUGGGCGUAAAGGGCGCGUAGGUGGUGGCUUAAGCGUGCGGUGAAAGCUCGGGGCUCAACUCCGAGUCGGCCGUGCGAACUGGGCUCACUGGAGCAUAGUAGAGGCAGGUGGAAUUCCGGGUGUAGCGGUGGAAUGCGUAGAGAUCCGGAAGAACACCAGUGGCGAAGGCGACACGCUGGGCCGUACCUGACACUGAUGCGCGACAGCAUGGGGAGCAAACAGG
rnacentral:rRNA from 1 species